UUGAGCCUAAAAUGGACCUAAGCAUAAUGCAGAACAGCAAUCUUAUUAAAAUGAGCUCCUCUCCUGUCAGAACAGAUGAUCAAAAGUGUUUGUGUGCCAAAAGUGUUUCUUGUUGCCAAGAAGCUUUUAGAAAAGAGCAAAGGUGCUUUAAGUAUUCACCACCUGAUUUCUUGACAAAUAUAUUAAAGGAGGGGAGCAACACUUAUGUCGUUAAAUGUUUUCUGUUAAAUGUUUUCUUUUGUGUCUUCUAAUUGUGUGCUGAGAUCAGUGAUAUUAAUCUUCUGCCUGUAAUACUCUUCUAGGGCUCAUUGAAUUCAAUCUUUAUAGCAACAUAGAGAGAAGUCUGGUAUAGUGUUAGUGUGUUGUGUGAUAACAAGGCUUUGUUUUGGAAACCAAUGCAGAAACUUUAGAAAAAUGUUUCAGCUUCCAAUUCCAAUUUUAAUAUAAUACUAGCUUUGUCAGGGGAAAGCUAGAGUACAAAUCAGAAGAAUGUUUUUUGUAAAUCAUACAUACAGGAUAUAUUUCCCUACUUACAUAUUUGUGUCCUUUUUUUCUUUCAAGAAAUGUUUAUCAAAUUGACAAUUUUCUACUCAUUUACAGUAAAAGUUUUUUAUCAAAUGUGCAAAUCUUGAAAUUCAAAUGUAUGUCAUUGCAAAGAAAUAGUUUCAGAUUCAGUGAGACGCUUCUUUCGUAACAUUUUACAUUGAUUGUGGAACCAAGUGUUUUGCUUUUGCAUGCUAUUUGUAAAUGUUAAAAUUUUGUCAUUGUAGCUAAAUUUGGUGGAUCAUUAAGAGAAUAGAAUACAGAUACAUUUAAAAAAAAAAAAAAAA